UGGAUUUGCGUCCUAUGCUGCCCUUUAUCAGCCAUAUGAGCCUGAACAAGCCCUAACGAUGGUGUGAGCCUCAGUUUUUUGUUAAUCUGUAGAAUAGUGAUAAUAUCUCUCUUAUUUAUCUUAUUUGUUAAUUAAACCCAAAUUAAAUGGCAUAGAGUAGGCCUUGGGUACCACUGCAGUAACUCCAUUUUUUUCUGUUUUUUUGUUAAAACAGUCAUUUGUCUCUGAACUCUGUAACGGCAGGGAACUCUGUAUUUCCUUUCCCCUUCCUGUCAGCACCUUGCCCAUGUAGUCAUGGUCUCUAUGUAAAGUUGUUCUCACAGAUGAGAACUGCCUCCAUUUGUGCCAAAGCCACAGGGUGACCCUGCCUGACUUUGUGACUGAGAUGAAGGAGCAAGCAUGCUGUCAAAGGGAAGAUAACACCAAUCUAGAAGGAAGUUACAAUACUGAAGACCACAGAAUCAAGAUUAAAAACUCUCGACAGGCUGCAGCCCUGGGUUGGAAACAAGAAAUCCAUCUGUUGCCUAUUAAAGAAGACUGGAGGCUGUACGCAGUGGCUCACGCCUGUAAUCCCAGCACUUUGGGAGGCCGAGGCGGGUGGAUCACCUGAGGUCAGGAAUUCGAGACCAGCCUGACCAACAUGCAGAAACCCCGUCUCUACUAAAAAAAUAAAAUAAAAUUAGCCAGGCGUGGUGGCAGAUGCCUGUAAUCCCAGCUACUUGGGAGGCUGAGGCAGGAGAAUUGCUUCAACCUGGGAGGCAGAGGUUGUGGUGAGCCGAGAUUGCGCCACUGCACUCCAGCCUGGGCAACGAGUGAAACUCCGUCUCAAAAAAAAAAAAAAAAAAAGAAAAAAGAAAAAAGACUGGAAAGUAUAGUGGUAUAAAUCAAAAAGUAUCAGAGACAGAUCUCAAUCAACUUAGCAGUUUAUUUUGCCAAGGUUAAGGACAUGGCCGGAAGAAAGGAACACAGAUACCACAGAAACAGCAUGUGGUCGGGGCUUUUCUUCAAAGAUCACUUUGAAGCCUUCAGUAUUUAAAGGGGAAAAGCAGGCUGGAAGAGAAAGAGGGAGGAUGUGGUCACAUGACUGAAUCCACAUGUUGCAAGAGAAAAGGAGCAAGUAGGAGAACAGACAAUUAUGUAGUCGUCUCCCACUCAGUAAAUCAGCACUGAUCACUGAUAAGGUGAACAUAGAGUAGCUGACUGUGGAGACAUCCGGCCUUUUAUCUGUAGCUGUCUGCUUAGGAACAAAGAGAAAGGCAAUUUCUGGCCAUGACUCAGCUUUCAGCUUAAUGUUUUCCUUUUGGCAUCAUGAAACGGGGUCCUGAGAUUUUAUUUUCUUUCACGGUGGUU
rnacentral:lncRNA from 1 species